GGUUUGCUCAGAUGGUAGAGUGCUCCACUGGAAAUGGUGAGGUCCCUGGUUUGAUACCAGGCAUAAUUU
rnacentral:tRNA from 1 species